rnacentral:rRNA from 1 species
AACGAACGCUGGCGGCAUGCCUAACACAUGCAAGUCGAACGGGAUCCAGGCUUCGGCCUGGUGAGAGUGGCGGACGGGUGAGUAACACGUGGGAACCUGCCUUUUGGUUCGGGAUAACCGCGGGAAACUGCGGCUAAUACCGAAUGCUCCCGUGAGGGGAAAGAUUUAUCGCCAGAAGAGGGGCCCGCGUCCGAUUAGGUAGUUGGUGGGGUAAUGGCCUACCAAGCCGACGAUCGGUAGCUGGUCUGAGAGGAUGAUCAGCCACACUGGGACUGAGAUACGGCCCAGACUCCUACGGGAGGCAGCAGUGGGGAAUUUUGGACAAUGGGGGGCAACCCUGAUCCAGCAAUGCCGCGUGAGUGAAGAAGGCCUCGGUGUAAGACUCUUUUGUUCUAGGGAAGAAACGGUAGAGAGCUAAUAUCUCUUGCUAAUGACGGUACCUGAAGAAUAAGACACCGGCUAACUACGUAGCCAGCAGCCGCGGUAA